rnacentral:snoRNA from 1 species
UAGACUAAUGACAACAGUGUGUCACAAACUAAAGAUUAAGAUUAAUCCAAUUCUGUGCACCUGAGAUCCAUU